ACUAAGUGCAGCUCGGCGCUGGGCACAGCACAAGGACACAGCGAGUCCAGGGGGGAGAAAAGGGCUCCCACCUCCCGGCAGCAGGCGGAGAGGAGCUUGCUUUUGGAGCAUCCUCCCUGCCAGGCCACUGAAAGCACGGAAAAUGUCUUUGUGAGGAGCGAGGGGUAAUAAUCGUAGAGAAGUUGAAAGAAGUGACAGAAACAGAAACAGAAAUGGAAUCUCUCAGCUGCGAAUUUUUACAGCAGGAUGCAUGUCUUUGCUGAAGGCUCUACAAUACAGAUUCAUUUGUCUUUUUAGGGAUUGAUGCAACUGCAAUUUAAAUGUGGGUGGCUGCAGAUCCAUAACUGCGUUGUGUGACACGGGAAUGUACGGCUAUACCAGACGGAGAAGAGGGGAUGAACGACGUCCACUUACCAUACCCAGGGUAAUUUGCAGCCACAGUAUUAAGCUUGAUUUGAGCUGUUUUACCACUGCAUGUCCGUCAAUCCUUACCUUAUUCCUAAUGCAACUGUACCCCUUGAACAUGAGCUGUUGGAGGCUAUAAGUGCCCCUGAGCUACAGCAUCCUCCUUAGAGGUGCACGGCAGGGUCAGCAGCAGCGCCUGGAACCCAUCUGCUCUACCUUGCAGCAGCAGAGCCCCGCACGAAGAUGCUGUGUCAAGAAGCAGCAAGAUCAGAGCCCCCUUAAAGGAGACCUGGAAUGGAAGGAAGUGUAUUUGUCUCUUUUGGGGGGGACAACAAGGCCUCAGAAAAUCAUUUUCUUUCUUCCUAUAACAAGUUUUGCCUUCCUUGUUUCUGCUGAAGGUUUAUAGCAUCUCCUUAACCACCUGAAAGAUUUUGAGCUAAAAUGAAGGGAAUGAUGGCCUGAGUCUCUGAAAAGAUAAUCCUCCUCAUCUGUUCAUCAGGUAUUGGUUAGAAAUGUAUCAAGGUAUAUUCAAAAUAAUCUCAACUGAAAGUAGCUCCCUUGAUGUUGUACAAAGCUGGAUUCUUGAUGCCAUUCAAGCCAUCUACUGAACUUCUAAAAUUAUGUAUGUUUUAUGGAUGAAAGCUACUGAACACAUGUUUUUAUGAACUGUUUGUACUUACAUUUGUGGUAAGAUAGUACUUUCAGUUGAUAUUCCUGUAAUGUUGUGGUAGCCUUACUGAAAACAUACCCUUCUGCACUGAUUUUGCUGGGAACAUUCUACAAGCCUUUGUGCUGAUUAAGACAAUAAACUCCGAAGGAUUCCUUGUCUCAUUGGAAUAGGAUGUAGAUAAUUAAUCAGCUGAACAAAUCUCAUGAAAUAUUCACCACUUCUGUGACUCUGGACUGUCAUUUUCUAAUAUUAUAGGUCUUGAUCCUCUCCAUUCAGCAGUCUCCACUAUACGGUCAUUUUUAAAGGGAAGUUAAGUGUGGGCCUGUGUCAUGCUGCUUGAAAAAGGGUUUGCAGAGCAUGUUCUGGAGCAACAUUCAAGCUCCAGCAAGCCAAACUCGUCCUGAUUUACUGAGCUCUCUUCAGCCAAUGUCCACAGAUGCAAAACAUUGUCUAACAGACAUGGGAAACAGUUCUCCAAAUUACUAACUAUGAGAGCAAGAAGUGCUUUCAUUUUGACUCUGGGAAUGGCGUGUUGUUGAUAAUCGUGCUAAGUUUGUUACUGUGGUGACUGUCUGUGUGAUGAUUCUCUAACAAGCAGUAAUUCCACAGAAACUCAGCCUCUUCUGUUCACCGCCUUGGUGGGCCAAGGAGAUCCAUCCCCCUGCCUGACCACCCCCUGUCGGCUCAGCAGAAGUGGAAGGAGGCAGAACUGCAGCAGGGGAUGCAGCCUGAGGAAGGGCGGCAAUGACCUCGAGGUGCCCUGGCGUGGCCACGUGCUUCUGCACCCUCACUGCUCCUGUUGCCUCCUGACGAGCAGCCCCGUGCCAUCGCGGUGUGCCAUUGGGGUGUGCCAUUGGGGUGUGCCAUCGCAGCGUGCCAUCGCACCCACCUGCACGACCGGGCUGUGCUGGGCUGGGGGCAAGCAUGGACUGAAUGGACCUCACCUGUCCGCACCGCUGUUGCCUUUCACGGCCCCCAGUGACCCCUCCGGGGGUGCCGGUUCCGUGGGACGAGCGGGCGCGCGGUGGGCACGGAGCCCCGACGCCAGCUGGCACCGCGAUGCGGGGAUGUGCGGGGGCGCGGGGCACGCGUAGCGCGCGGGGCCUGUACCGAGGGCACUGAAUAAAGCGCUGCUGAACGGACA